GACGAACGCUGGCGGCGUGCCUAAUACAUGCAAGUCGAGCGAAGCGGGGACGGGUGAGUAACACGUAUGGAACCUCCGAUAAGCGGGGGACAAAAUCCGGAAACGGGUGCUAAACCGCAUACUUUUCGAAGGCCUGGGUGCAUUAGCUCGUUGGUGGGUUAACGGCCUACCAGGCGAUGAUUGAUAGCCGAACGAGAGGGUGAUCGGCCACAUUGGGACUGAGACACGGACCAGACUCCUACGGGAGGCAGCAGUGGGGAAUAUUGCGCAAUGGGCGCAAGCCUGACGGAGCAAUGCCGCGUGAAUGAAGAAGGUUUUCGGAUUGUAAAGUACUGUUGUAAGGGAAGCGGUAUCCGAAGAAGAAGCCCCGGCUAACUCCGUGCCAGCAGCCGCGGUAAUAC
rnacentral:rRNA from 1 species